rnacentral:rRNA from 1 species
AAUAGAUACCCGGGUAGUCCACGCCGUAAACGAUGAGUGCUAAGUGUUAGGGGGUUUCCGCCCCUUAGUGCUGCAGCUAACGCAUUAAGCACUCCGCCUGGGGAGUACGGUCGCAAGACUGAAACUCAAAGGAAUUGACGGGGGCCCGCACAAGCGGUGGAGCAUGUGGUUUAAUUCGAAGCAACGCGAAGAACCUUACCAGGUCUUGACAUCCCGCUGACCGGCCUAGAGAUAGGUCUUUCCCUUCGGGGACAGCGGUGACAGGUGGUGCAUGGUUGUCGUCAGCUCGUGUCGUGAGAUGUUGGGUUAAGUCCCGCAACGAGCGCAACCCUUGAUCUUAGUUGCCAGCAUUCAGUUGGGCACUCUAAGGUGACUGCCGGUGAUAAACCGGAGGAAGGUGGGGAUGACGUCAAAUCAUCAUGCCCCUUAUGACCUGGGCUACACACGUGCUACAAUGGACGGUAUAGAGGGUCGCAACCCCGCGAGGGUGAGCUAAUCCCAUAAAACCGUUCUCAGUUCGGAUUGUAGGCUGCAACUCGCCUA